AUAGCGUAUAUUAAAGUUGUUGCAGUUAAAAAGCUCGUAGUUGAACUUCAGACCUGGUUGGGUGGUCCGCCUCACGGUGUGUACUGUCUGGCCGGGUCUUACCUCUUGGUGAGCCGGCAUGCCCUUUACUGGGUGUGUCGGGGAACCAGGACUUUUACCUUGAGAAAAUUAGAGUGUUCAAAGCAGGCCUACGCCCGAAUACAUUAGCAUGGCAUAAUAAAAUAGGACUUGCGGUUCUAUUUUGUUGGUUUCUAGAGUCGCAGUAAUGAUUAACAGGGAUAGUUGGGGGCAUUAGUAUUCCAUUGCUAGAGGUGAAAUUCUUGGAUUGACUCAAGACCAACUAUUG
rnacentral:rRNA from 1 species